ensembl:lncRNA
UGCACAAAGUGCGGAGGGGGGCGGGGGGCUUCGGGGGACUUUAGACAGCAAGUUAAUCUGUAUCUCCCUGAUCUUACCGCCUGUCCGUCAAUCCAAGUGAAACAACGUAGGUGUAAUUUAGCAUGACGGCCUUCUGGGGGCAGCCGGGGUGAAGAGUUCACCGAGUGUGCGUCUGUGUGUGUGUGUGUGUGUGUGUGUGACUGAGGUACAGCAGCAGUCGGACUCAUAAUAUUUGUGGUGCAUUUAUGCAUAUUGGCAGAACUCGUCAUGACGGUAAGGACAGCGUCUGAGAGUUUGCCAAACACAGCAGCGAUUGUUCAGACUUGGGCAUCGAGAGGUCAAGUAACCGGAGGCACAAGCAUCUCCAUUCAAAGCAACAGAACUUCUUUUAUCCAGAUCCAAAACCCCGUCACAUUGGACCUACUGUCUCUUACUUACUGUGAGCUGACACUAAGAGAAUGUCUUUUGACAACGGUGAACAGGACUAAAAGCAGGAGGAUGACCUGGAGGGAGGGAGGGAGGGAUGGGGGGAUGGGAGGGGGGGGCAGAAAGGCAGAACAGAGCGAAGCCGCAGAGACUCGGGUGUGAUAAUGGAUUCCCACAUUAGGUCCUUGAAGGUCUGAUGAUGAAUGGGACGUGGCAGCGCCGCAUGGCCCCCAGAAGCAGAAGAUCUCUGUGCUUGGCGGUGGGCGCUCGGUCAGGAGGGAGGAGAGCGGGGGGGGGAGGGAGGGAGGGGUUGUUGAGUUGGGAGGAUUUGGGAGACAACCCCCCCACAGAUCACAGUGUGGAGUGGAAACACAUGGUUUCAAUGUGCAGCUCGUCGCGGCGGCGGCCACAAUUUUGCAGCUCUGGAAUUACUCAAUGGUUGAAAAUCACAAGAUUUCAACAUUUACUUCACACACCCUCCUUGUGUGUCUGUGUGUGCGUCUGUGUGUGCGUCUGUGUGUGUGUGCGUGAGCUGAAUUCCUGUAGAGUUCAUGAGCAACGAUGACUAAGAGCCCCUCGGUUUGAAAACCCUAAAUUACCUGCGAGGGGCGCGGAGACAGCAGCGACCUCGGAAGCUCUGCUGAGGACUUCAAACCAGCCGGGAGCUGCUUCAUGCAGGGAGGGGGGCAGAGUGGGGGGGGGGGGGGCGCAUUCAGACAGUAAAUUAAACCAUUUCACGAGCAAACAAUGACACAAUUUGUAAGUCAGUUUCUACCAAAGCCGACCGGUAUGAGUUAUGAGUUAUUCACACACACACACACACACACACAUGCACAGACACACACAACGUGCACAGACACACACAACGGCCACGCUAAUGUGCGGGAUGGAAUCCAGGUGGACGCAGCGGUCCUCCUUCGCUCCCAGCAGGCCGUUGGGGUUGAAAAGGUGAAAACAAGCAAAGACCUUAAGACGAGAGACGUUGACCUUUGGAUUGUGUUUGUUGGUCGACGCUCAGGCGUGAGCCCCAAGCCCCAGGGCAUGCUGGGAGUUUAACCAGGGGCAGGAGGUCACUGGGACGGGCAGCAGAGCAACAGAGGGUUAGAAUGGGGGGGCGUGAGAGGGGGGCAGCUUUUUUAUUUGCCCCAUGAUAAUUAUUUUUCCAUUUAAAACCAAUUAUGAAUCUCAGCCUUUGAUCUUCUGAUGCAGGAAAUAAGUCAAUUUACACUCAAGUUCCUUCCUAUUUUAUUUUGUAUUUAUACUCCACUAAAUCUAAGAGGUAAAUAUCGAUCUGACGAUGUUGAUGCUGAAUGUUUGUGAUGAACUGAAGGAUAAAGUGUUCCUUCUGUAAAGAGCCUCUGGAAACGUUUGUUCUUCUUAGAGAGCUCAUAGAAUCCGAUGCAUAGAUGUAGAAUAAACUAAACAAAGGAGGUCAAAUGCUACAUAUUGAUACAUAUUAAUCCAGAAAUAUUUAAACCUACGCUUUUAAAGGCAGGACAUUUACUAGCAGUAUGUGUGGUAUUCCUACUUUUACUCCACCAUCUGAAUACUUCUCCCACCGCUGCUGGUCUCCCCACAGCGGUUCUACAAUCUGGAGAAAACCUUCAGCUUCUCUCUCUUCUCUCUAGAACGGACAUCAGCUGAGCAGGUGGUGGGCGAGGACGGAGGACCGCUCCUCUUCUGGGCCGAUCCGCCUCGAGAAGGGAGCCAGAAGGCUGGCCUUUGACGCGCCGACAGCUCGCCGUGAGUGACGUGUGAUCCGUACGAAUUUCAGGACUAAUAAAUCCACCUGUCAGGGGAAGGAGACUUGAAAGGGCCGCCGCCCCGCGGCCGGGCUUAAACGCAACCGCUGUUGAUGAAAUUCUGCAGGCUUGCGGAAUUACAGCUGUCAGGAGAAAACGCCCACGUCAGAUCUGACGCCGGCUGCCUCCCUAACCUGUUCUCUGUCUCGCACUUCCUCCCCCCUCCCUCCCACCUACUUCCUCCCCUUUGUUUCUAACUGCAGAAUAUGUGUGACAUUAACUCGCCGUGGGAAUCGUCAUUUCACCGGCGGGGAAAUAUUCCUCUAAAUCCCCCUGUUAGUUCUUUCUCUCUCGCCACGAAGCACGAGGUUAAAUCACGUCGCACACAGCUGCUCUGCUUUUCCAUUUCACGGCGCCUCUAUUCCCUCCUCGCCGCUUUGAAGUUGGGGCUGGACUUUAGCCAGUGAGAGACAUAUUCACUGCCGCUGCGUGACAGCUAUAAACACAGUCUGAGGAGAGAAAGGCAUAAACCAGUCGAGCGUGUGCUCGCCGUAUUUACGGGUAAACGGGUGGAAAAGCCAUCGCUCUCUGUAAUCUGUCAUAACGGGGAUUUGCGGCGGUGCGACGCGAGGACCCCGUCCUCCCCGUCUCAUGCAGACAGACUUCGUGGGGUCACGCGGCGAUUCCACGUCAAUGGACACGGGAAUCAAUGUGGAAAAUGCUCACGGAAACUAUUAAUUUUAAAAUUUUAUUAAUUCCUGCUUUUACCUGAAUGAGAACCUGAAUUCAGACGGCGCUUUUGGCUAAAUGCUAACGACGCUUCGGCUAACAGGAAGUAUACUGAAAUAAAGGUAGAAAUACUACAGCCAAGAGAUACUCUGUUAGUUUUCCCUGUGCAGUUUAUAAUAACUUAUAUUGUAGUAUUAUUGAUGCUAACGUGAGCUAAUAUUGACUUAGCACGGCUGAGGUUUAUCGGCAGCUGAGCAGAUGUUACGAUAUUUCUUUAAAUGAAGUGGAACAACAUCUUAAAUUUAGUCUGCGUAUCAGGCAGAUCAAAGCUGGUGGCAGUUUGCAGUUUGCUUUAUUUGACUGACUGCUUGGAAUAACGUCUUGGAAGUUAAACUUAAUGGAACAUUUGUGCGGUCGGCUGUUUCAUUCUUUCUGCAGAGCCCUUCGCAUCCGAUUUGUCACGGGCCGCGCUUUGUGAAGAGGCAACGCCACUUAUUAAAAAAACAAAUAAAAAAAAACACCGACAGCGUCGAGUUCAUCCAGUACAACAAUUUACGUUCCACUCAAACAGCCUGUCGCGUUCCCACAGCUGAACGCCGGGACGGGACAAAGGGAAGAAGGGGGGAAAAAGUCCCGGGCAGCAGUUAGAAAAAAGGAGGGAGGGCGGCGGAGCGGGAGAGAGGGAGCGCUCCGGGGUCCGUCCUUCACUUCCACAUCUGGCCCUGAUAUUUCAGAGUUAAUUAGUCAUGCAGGGGUUGUGUGUAGAUAAAUCUAUCAUCCCGCCCUGCGCAAACCAUUUGAGAAAUGAAAGGAAGUGAGCAGAUACACGCAGUCCGAGCUCCUUCAUAAAUCACGGGCCCAGAUUAAAAACAGGCACUGCGGUGACGAGGGGGGAGGGAACAGGAAGGGGCGGAGCCUGGACCGUCCCGCACAAUAGCACACUGUCGUUCCGCCACAUGCGCUUACCGGAUGAUGUAUAAGUAUAUACAUCUAUAUAUAUUUCUGGAUGCUGGGUCUCCGACCUCAAAAUCUAUGGCGGCUUUGGUAAGAUGCUCAACAACGUGUUACAUUGUUGCAGUAAUAUAUAAACAAUAAGAAAACAGCCAAAAGCAUAUGGCACAGCAUGGAGAGUAUAUACAUACAUAUAUAUAGAUUUAACCCCCCGCGACCCCGGCGUUGUUGAAUGUUUACGCGGUGAAGAACAAACUCACUGGCAGGCGCGUUACUUGUGAGCGGACGGCGGACGGCGUCUCACUCAGCGGAGGAAGGCGGAGGUCACGAGGAAGAGGAAGAAGAAGAGGACUUUGGAGUGAGAAGAAAGGCCGCUCUGGGUGUGUGUGAGUGUGUUGGGAGAGCCGAGGGAGCAUCGCUGUGCUUACAGGAAUAAAAGCAAAUGGAUUAAAAGAUGUUUUUUGGUUCUUUAUGUGAACGAGAGAAGGAAUAAUAAUAAUAAUAAUAAGUGCUGCAGGAGGUCACUGCUAUUUAAAAAGAAGCUCCCUGCAGCUUUGAAUUGUUUUAAUUGGAUUUUCUCAAAAUGACACAGAUGCGUAAACUACAUGACAGUUGAGAGUCGAUGGGCUGAACUUUAAAUCACCUCCAGGUUUAAUUUAGGGUUUAGGAUUUAUGGAUUUAGAGGGUUUACGAUGGGGUGAGGGUGAAGGUUAUGAGAGGGACAAGGUCAGAGGUCAAGGCGGGGAAAGUGCUGAGUAUUAGCAGGAAUGUGUGUGUUCCAGGAGACGAUACGGUCUCCAAAGAGCUCGCAAACAUCGAGAAAUUUAAUAUAAAAAGGGCUUACAACUAAAUACGUAAGGAGGAACAGUCCGAUAGCUGCUGAGGGAUCAUAGAUAUGCACUUCAUACUUCAUACCACCAGAUUAAAGACAAUAUAUACAUGUAUAAAUAACAGCUGCAUCUACCUUCACCUCGUAAAAUCCUGCUUGCACAUUGAUGUCAGAGUGAUCUAAUAUUGUGUAAUUUAAUGACACAUAAUGUGUUUUAAAGAUCAUCGUUUUUUUUUAUCUCUGCUGCUUUGCAAAGUCCAGAUCGCGUCGCGUUUUUGUUCCAACGCGGCGUCCAGACUGGACAUGUGAGGCAGUCGAUAGCCAUCUGACCAGGAAACACUAAAUCACAGAAACCGCAGGGGGGCUACAGGCAGGGAGAAGGGGGGGGGGGGGGGGGGGGUGUAAAUCACACAUUACAAAGACCCUGCUGAAAGCUCAGGAACAUCGGUCCACCGUGACAUCGUUCCUCGCAGGCUGCCUUCAAAGCCGGCUCGGACAGGAAGCCCUCAUUCCCAGCUGAGAGGUGCAGCGGAAAAGUCCUGUUUGGAUGUGUUCGUCCUUCCCAAGGACGUGUGACUCCAUUGUGACGGCGCUCGGCGAGCUGAUGAAAAGAGAUCGCCGCGGCACAGGAACCGCAUUCGCGCCCGCGUGACCUCUGACCCGCACAAAGCUGUUGUCGUGGCGACAGCGAUGAUGGGUUUGUUGGUGUCAGGGUUGGUUUGGUUGCAAAGUAAAACAAAGGAAGACAAAGGAGUUUUUUCCAAACUAUCAACAGCUCUCUUGUCACCAGGGUGUGUUCUAGUUUGUGCGUGUGUUUGACCUUAUUGUGUAUUCACUUGGUAUUAAGGCAGCUGUAGUUCAUAUUUUAUAACCAUUUACAGGACCUUUCGUAUCUAAAAACUCUUUUAUCUUGUUAUCUAAUAAGACGAAGCGGCUCUACACACUGGUGCCUUGAGCUAAAUGCAAACACUCAGUUCUCACGCUCAAUAUUCGCUAAUUAUUUCUUAAGUUACUCUGUUUAUAACUUUGAUUUGACCCCAUGGGGUCGAUAAUCUGUUUUUUGCAACAACAACAACGCGUCAGAUUGCCAUGAAUUUGGGUCUGAAUCCCCGAGGAGGCUCUGUGAGACUGAUCAACAGCAGGAGGAGGACCAAAAUUACAGGUCAUAGUUAGUGAGGUGUUUAAGUUUAAGGGAAGUUUAAUCCACGUUAAAAAAGAGCUCGAGUCCUACAGGCUGAUUUUUUUUCUGGCAACGACCAGUCGAGUGUUGUCGAGGAGUCAGCCUCACCUGCUCCGCCUGUCACUCAGCGGUUGCCACAGCGAGUCGGCUGACACUUCGCCGACGCGGCGCUGCCAAAGUUCGCCCGCCGCGUCAAUCAUUCGCCUCUUCUUCCUCGGAGCGCCAAAGAAGUUGACGUCUCUGUAAGAUAUAAAAAAGCAAGCGUUGAUUUGUUUCAUUCAGGCUGUAAUUUCAGACCAGUGCAGAUUGCUGCGAAUACCUGGUGGUGGUGGGGAUGUUGGUGGAUGUGGUGUAGGUGGUGGUGAUGCUGGUGAUGCUGGUGGAUUUGGUGGAGGUGGUGGUGGUGGUGAUGCUGGUGGAGGUGAUGUUGGUGGAUUUGGUGGAGGUGGUGAUGGUGGUGGUGAUGUUGGUGGAUAUGGUGGAGGUGGUGGUGGUGAUGUUGGCGGAGGUGGUGGUGAUGCCGGUGAUGCUGAUGGAGGUGAUGUCGGUGGUUUUGGUGGAGGUGGUGGUGAUGUUGGUGAUGCUGGUGGAGGUGAUGUUGGUGGAUUUGGUGGUGGUGGUGAUGCUGGUGGAGGCGAUGGCGCUGGUGGUGAUGCUCAUUUGGGUGCGUUUGAUUUGCCACCUCUCCGGGAUGCAUUAAGUGAACAUGAACCCCAUUAGCCCCGGAUCACCGGACUUGUUAGCAGCAGCACCUUCUGCAAUAACUUACAGCGCUUUCCUCUGGACAGAACGUGCUCCUUGUAGAGCGUAAUGGAAGUAAUCCAUCCUCCCUGUCAGUGCUGGAAAACACUUUGUUUUCUGUACAAAUGGUGUUUGGGUGGAAGUCGCUGGUUGGGGGUGGAGGUGUUUGGGAGGGGCAGGACAUUCUUCUGCUGUGUAUGUCUCACAUGCGCAGGUUUUGAGGGCAGAGGGAGUGAACGCAGUGAAGUCUGUUCCAUAUAUUCACCACGGCAUUAAAGUACAGAUAGAGAAGGUUAAACAGGAUAUAUUAACAAUGGGUAUAUAAAACGGAAAUAAUAAUAAUAAAAUAUAAAAUAUACAUCUGCAUUUGGCGACGAUUAACAGAUAUGAAAGUAUCAUUAUAAAAUAUAAUUAUGUUGUAGGAAUCCCAAGAAACGUGUUGUAAAAGCGCUUAAAGACAACUUCACUUCCCCAACAUGAGUCGAGCUCUCAUUAUACUGGAUCCCAUAAUAACCCCGAGGGCAUCAUUACGUUUAUGAGGAAUUAUAAGAUCCCGGUUGACAUUUCAAUGUUUAAUACUUAAAGUUUACCAAACCACAUGAAAGAGGUCCUCACACUGCUGCUUCACACUCUGCUGGUGAACAACAGCAGCUUUGAUGCAAGUCGAGCAUCUGAUAACUCCUCUCACGGUAAAUACCCUUUUCUGCUGGUUGGGGCAGUUAACUCUAUUAAACAUCUGCUGAGUGUUAUGGCGGCUCGUACCGAUAUCAGUGAAUAUAUCCAUUUAGCUCAAGCAGUAACCGUAAUGGCGUUAAUGUCCAUAUCUGCUGGAGCUUUUCUUCAGUCUAUUUCCAAAGAUAUCGUUCAUUCCGACCGUAUUAAAGCUCUCAGUGUGGAGACCAGUUUGUACAGGAAAUGAUGAACUACCUCCUGGAAAUUAAAGCAAGGCCAAAUACCACAUUUCAGCCUGGAAUGUAAUUUAUAGUCAGUUAAACAACAUUUGCUUACAAGAAAAACACCUUUUGAUUCGUAGACUCUUUUGCCGUUGCUUUAAUUUUAAUUAUUUUGGGCUAACUUUGUUUGUAUUCCAACUUUCAAAUCAAAGCACAACCAAAAAAACAUAAAUUUUUCUUCCAUCCUUCUCCCACUUACCUCCUCCUCUUUCUCACAUCUACCUACUCUCCCCCCUCAUUCCUCCCAACUGCAUCUCCCUCAGCCCCCACAGGCCCCUCCAUAAAUCCUGGGACAGCAGCGCUUUAAUGGAUAAUUAAUUGAUGCCGCUGCAGCACUGUAAUAAGACAAUAAAUUACGACACAGGGCGGUGUGCUGUGUCAGUGUGUGUUGCUAAUGGCCCUUCAGGGCCGGGGCAGGAGGCUAAUAAAUUAGACAGGUAUUAACUGUUGUGUGCUAAGUAGCCCUCCACCGCAGAAUGCCAUGAGCGCCGAACGGGGAAGCAAGAACAAGACAAGGAUGAAUUUAAAGUGAAAUUAAAAACUGUUUUUGACAAGAAAUCUGUACAUUUCCAAUUGUGUGAUUUUGUUAAAAGUUUUCAUUAUUUUUCUGAAGCAGUGGAGCCACAAAUUUGUAAUUCGUCAUUUGGUUCGGUUGGUAUCGAGCACUAAAACCAAUCCGUCACUUCAGGUGCAACGACCUCACACGUAGGAGCUAAAUGCUAACGCCAGCAUGCUAACACGCUCAUAAAUGACCAUGGGUCAACUUUAGCGGUAUUUUAGCGCGCUUGAUGUUCACCACUUUGACCGCGCGGGUUUAGCUUGCUAGCAUGUUAGCAUUGGCUAAUCAGCGCCAAACGCAAAAAUUGGUUUCACAGGUAUUCGAGUUACAAACAGGACAUUUUGACCUGACCAUUGCGAUGCAAACUUAAUACAAUAAUUCUUCAAUAUGGCAACAUAAAUAAAAAAGAACGCUUCAGCAGUUUAGACCAUCGACCUCUAGAUCGGUUGGAUAAAACGCCGCGGCCUCGCCGGUGUGAAGCUCUCACCGCGCUGAGCGUAAAGGAUCGUGCCGCUUUCCCAAAGAGGGAAAUCCCAGCUUAGCAAACGAGGCCAACGCCUCCCGCUCGGGAAACGUGGAAUUUUCGGCAGAUAGCCUCUAAUCCCAUUUUAAUGGUUGUCUGAUUAAGAGGUGAGAAGGAUUAGGGCGCGACUGUGUUGCGCGGUAAACAUUCACCACGUACGCGCCGGCUUGCGAGGCGCCGGUGGAAAAUUACUUAUACGGGAGAAACAAAGAGAAAGGGACAAAUCUCAGGGAUUAGGAGUGAGCAUGAAGAGGAAGAGAAACGACGGCUCAGUUCUGUCGUUCCAAUUAAAAAUGCUGCAAAUCUCUCAUCUCCUAAUGUUGGCCCUAACGAGCGUGACUCGCUGGCAGUUAUGCAGAUAAAAACUCCUCCUGAUUGAUUCCACCCGCACGUCCAAAUUAGUUUCACUCCAGCUUAUUGAUCACAACCCGCCGGUUGCAAACCGUUGAUUAAUAACGAUAAUAAAAGUGCAAUAGAUUGUUGGAAUCAACCACACGAGGCUGAACAACGUGAGAGUUUUCCCAGCUCGCAUCUGAAAACGUGUAAAUAUUGAUCUUGUAGUCUCUAUUAAAUCUUUCACUUCCGGUUCCCCUCAAAGUCGCAGGUGUUUUUGAGUCUGAAGAUGUCUGAAAGGUGGCUGCUUGAGGCAAGCGUAAGAGAUUUUAAAGUUUUAUUCUAAACGAUGGAAGCUUCAGUAAAUCAAACGUUCAAGGAUCAUACGAGUUCGUUUGAGGGAAACAGGGAGACGCUGACGAAAAUACUUCAUCACUGCAGCACUCGAUUGUGUGAACUAAUUCAGCAGAUAAAUGUCCUCCCACACACACACACACACACACACACACACACACACACACACUACAUAAUAAUAAUAAUAUCAAUAAUAACGCAUUCGCAGUUUUCUGCCCACAAUCAUUCCCCCGAUUGACGUGUUCAUCCGUUAAUCUCAUUACAUGUGUGUGAUUGUUUUUUUAUUGACACACGCGGUUCUCUGUCCGUCCUCUGAAUGGUGCGUUCAUGAAUCGAAAUGAGUUUAUAUCUGUUGUGAGCUAAAAGACUAAAGAGCAGGUGAAGGUGCGUUAAAAAAACGUUUUCCUUACUUUGUCUUUUGUCCCUUUUAUGUUGUUGCCCCACCCCCCUUAACUCUCCCCCCUUAGCCUCCACCUCGCUCCACGCUGGCACAUCCAACCUUCCCUUGAAUGCCACUGGGGGUGGGGGGACGUGGGGGGGACGUGGGAGGUGGGGGGCAAGUGACGGUGCAUGAUGACAGAGCCGUGUGACGGGGUCACAGCCACAGCCUCGCCUCUGCAGAGGAGCGCUUAAUACAUCAUCCCCCGGACAACGGGUGACACCCCCCCCCCCCGGAAGACGGAGUGCCCGGUGCCGAGCUCUCGCAGCCCUGAGACAUUCCUCCUUAUUUUAUUUAUUUUUGCGUCAGGCCGUCUAAUAAAGCGGGGGCGGGAUGGAGGGACGGCGUAUCGGAGCCGAGGGAGGAUGAAGCAUCUCGCACUGAUGUAAUAUGGCUUAUAAAUCUAAUUUAAUUACCCAGCGUGGGGACAGGCCGGAGAAGCCAUGACUGGAUUUAUUGUGUCUUAACUUGGCAUCUUAACGACUUUGUGCUUUUAAUAUCAUUACCCUGUAAUUUAUUCUCUUUCGUGCACACACACACACACACACACACACACACACACAGUGCAGUGAUAAUCUUUUUAAGCAGGCAGCUUUACGGAUCGUAGGACUCCAGAGCUGUGACAGCUAUUGAUCCAUAAACUCCCGCUUUGACUCGUCCCACGCCGUCCCCCCCAGCCAUCAAGGUGAAGUCGCCGCGGCGGGCUCCUUUUAACGCUUACAGCUACAUUUCCCCACCGAUGUGGAAUCAACCAGCUUAUUGCGAAGAGGGCGAGUUAAAGUGCAAAAAAAAAGGGUUGAUUGACACUUCAGACCAUUUUUAACCGCUUGCAAUUGUCACUAAAUUUCUUUUUAAAGUGUCCGUGAAACUUUGCA